GCCUAGCCGUAAACUUUAAAUUACACCCACAUCGCCAGGGAACUACGAGCAAAGCUUAAAACCCAAAGGACUUGACGGUACCCCAUAUCCACCUAGAGGAGCCUGUCCUAUAAUCGAUACCCCCCGCUAAACCUCACCACUUUUAGUCUACUCAGCCUGUAUACCUCCGUCGUCAGCUUACCACGUGAGCGCAACUUAGUGAGCUUAAUGCCCGUGCGCCAAUACGUCAGGUCAAGGUGCAGCAAAUGAAGUGGGAAGAGAUGGGCUACACUCUCUAACAUAGAAAAAACGGAAGAUUAUUUAUGAAACCUAAUCUAAAGGCGGAUUUAGAAGUAAAAAGAAAAAAGAAUGUCCUUUUUAACCCGGCACUGGGGUGUGUACACACCGCCCGUCACCCUCUUCAUAGCUACCAAAAAGUAAAUAACCAACUAACGCAAUACAGAAGAGGCAAGUCGUAACAUGGUAAGUAUACCGGAAGGUGUGCUUGGAAA
rnacentral:rRNA from 1 species